ensembl:lncRNA
GACGACCAGAGCAAUGAGCAGCUCUCAGAGAUUCUGAGCAGCACGCUUUAAGGGUCAAAGGUCGGACGGGGGCGCACCGCAUUAGACUCAUCCACACAUCCACCUCUGCAAUGUGUCUGCCCUGCAUCAAACCCCCAGCAUGAGCUCCAGGUGGGACCACUGCAGACCUCUCACAGAGGGGGUGCUCACACUCUCAACAAAGAUACAAACUGAAGUUGCAGGUUCAACUCCCUGUCCGUCUCAAGACUCCCAUGGCACGACUGUUAACGUUGGUAAUAAUACAAGAAACGAUUCUUCAAUGCAAUGAUGAAGGAAAAAACAAGCACUGCUUCUCCAAACAGGAACUUGCACAAGACUGUACAUCCACCAAAAAAAGAUUUACUACAAAUAGUUGUAUCAAAGGGGCUUUGAUUCAACCUGGCUGUGUUCGCAUGGCAGACUGCACCACAGACAACAACCGUGACCUUUACAUUUUGGGGGGUAUUUAGAAAAAAAACAGCAAGAGAGACGCCCACCCCAGCACCCAGUACUCCGUGACGGUUUGAGAGCUUGUCGAACAUGCACCCUCUUCAACUGAUGCACAACGGAAUUGUGUUUUUAAUGUUGCUGUCUUAAAUAUUUGCACAGUUAGCCAAUACGGAAUGAAAGCUAACUUGCAUUGUGUUGUUGUUGUGGAUGCAAUGGGGCAUUACUAAUGGGGCAGCUUGCAUUAUUCACGUCUGACCAAACAUAUUUUGGGUACCUGCUCAUAUGGGGCUCCUAUCAGGUUAAGCUGUUUUAGUAGUAAAAAGAUAAUAGCGAUCACAUUUUUUAAUGGCAUUCAGGAAAAUUCAAUUUAUUUGAUUCUAUAUUUGAUAUUAAAUGUCGGACUUCACUGUCCUCCAUCAUUCAGGUGAUCAUGACUUAGUCCUAUCAAAUCUAUAAGUACUCUCCUUAUGUCUGGAAUAGGACGCAAAGGUUAUCAUUCUAAGACACUUUACAUAAAAUUUAGAAAAAAUAAACAACUUUAUUUAACUAACACUAAUAUGAAUUAUCUCAAAAAGUCUGAUAAACUUGGAUCUUAAGUCAACCUUAAGUAUGUUGCGCCUUUAUGCAACACAAUGCGUAGGGAUGGUAGUCAUUUUAAGCAACCGUUCAUGUUGUUCAUAUCUCGUUGCAUAUGUUGUUGUUGCAGUGUGACGAUUCAC